rnacentral:rRNA from 1 species
AGACCGAUAGCGAACAAGUAGAGUGAUCGAAAGAUGAAAAGCACUUUGGAAAGAGAGUCAAACAGCACGUGAAAUUGUUGAAAGGGAAGCGCUUGCAGCCAGACUUGCUUGUAGUUGCUCAUCCGGGCUUUUGCCCGGUGCACUCUUCUGCGAGCAGGCCAGCAUCAGUUUGGACGGUUGGAUAAAGGCCUCUGUCACGUACCUUCUCUCGGGAAGGCCUUAUAGGGGAGGCGUCAUGCAACCAGUCUGGACUGAGGUCCGCGCAUCUGCUAGGAUGCUGGCGUAAUGGCUGUAAGCGGCCCGUCUUGAAACACGGACCAAG